AGUAAUACCCAAAUUGUUAAUGCAAUCAUCAAAAACAUCCCGAAUGACCCUGCUGGAAGUUGGAAUCCUUUAGUUAGAUGUCUAUUCAUGGAUUGAGCUUGUAGUAGUGGGAAUGAACUUUGGCUCAAGUUUAUUGAUAUCAUGAUCCCCGUUGACCACAAUGGCACGACUCUAAUGAGGGCUUUUAGCUCAUCAACUUGCUCCACUGUGCAAAGGUUCCAUGGAUUGGCUGCAACUCCGUUUGGCUUAACAUCUUCAGGGCUUUUAAUGAUGCAAGCUUUGUUUAAGAAUCUCAAUUUCUCCGUUGGCACUUGAGGUCCUGAACCAUUCUUGUGAUGAUAAUCAGAGUUCUGAUUGGGGUAAUGUAGUUUCCUAUUCUUGAAGGCAACCACAAUUACUCGUAUAAAGCUGGCAAACACGUUUGAGAGAACCUUUUGCUUGAUAUAAAACAGAGAAGCAAGGAAGAAAAAUAACGCGGAUAAGAACAUGAGGAUUGCAGGAACUCCAAAACCUAUUUUCCACCCGAGUCUGUCUUGAAGGUAAACGAUACCCGUUAGGGCAAUCAGAACAGAGACUACAGAUGAAGUAUAAUACCAGGAAAAGAAGCUCUCCAA